CAGCACCUCAAGUGGUCAGGAUGAUUAUUGGGCCUAAAGCAUCCGUAGCCGGCGCUGUAAGUUUUCGGUUAAAUCUGUACGCUCAACGUACAGGCUGCCGGGAAUACUGCAGCGCUAGGGAGUGGGAGAGGUAGACGGUACUCGGUAGGAAGGGGUAAAAUCCUUUGAUCUAUUGAUGACCACCUGUGGCGAAGGCGGUCUACCAGAACACGUCCGACGGUGAGGGAUGAAAGCGGGGGGAGCAAACCGGAUUAGAUACCCGAGUAGUCC
rnacentral:rRNA from 1 species